rnacentral:rRNA from 1 species
GCUCAGAAUCAACGCUGUGGCGUCCUACCACAUGCAAGUGAACGAGAAAGUCCCGCAAGGGAUGAGUAAAGUGGCGUACGGGUGAGUAACACGUGACUAACCUACCUUCGAGUGGGGAAUAACCUCGGGAAACCGGGGCUAAUACCGCAUAACAUCGUCGGGUGAAAUUCCUGCCGAUCAACGGAGCAAUCCGCUUGAAGAGGGGGUCGCGGCUGAUUAGCUAGUUGGUGAGGUAACGUGCUCACCAAGGCGAUGAUCAGUAGCCGGCCUGAGAGGGCGCACGGCCACACUGGAACUGAAACACGGUCCAGACUCCUACGGGAGGCAGCAGUGGGGAAUUUUGCGCAAUGGGGGAAACCCUGACGCAGCAACGCCGCGUGGAGGAUGAAGUCCCUUGGGACGUAAACUCCUUUCGACCGGGACGAAUAAUGACGGUGCCGGAAGGAGA